UCGAGAAUCUUCGGCAAUGGGCGCAAGCCUGACCGAGCGACGCCGCGUGCGGGAUGAAGGCCUUCGGGUUGUAAACCGCUGUCAGAGGGGAUGAAAUGCAGGUGGGUUCUCCCAUCUGUUUGACAUAGCCUCAGAGGAAGGACGGGCUAAGUUCGUGCCAGCAGCCGCGGUAAGACGAACCGUCCAAACGUUAUUCGGAAUCACUGGGCUUAAAGGGUGCGUAGGCGGCGCGGAAAGUUGGGUGUGAAAUCCCUCGGCUCAACCGAGGAAUUGCGCCCAAAACUUCCGUGCUCGAGGAAGAUAGAGGUGAGCGGAACUUAGGGUGGAGCGGUGAAAUGCGUUGAUAUCCUAAGGACACCGGUGGCGAAAGCGGCUCACUGGAUCUUUUCUGACGCUGAGGCACGAAAGCGUAGGGUAGCGGAACGGGAUUAGAUACCCCGGUAGUCCUAGCCGUAAACGAUGAGCACUGGAUUGGAGGGUCCUCCGAUAGCCUUCCAGU
rnacentral:rRNA from 1 species